rnacentral:rRNA from 1 species
UACGUAGGGGGCAAGCGUUGUCCGGAUUUAUUGGGCGUAAAGCGCGUGUAGGCGGCCAGAUAGGUCUGCUGUGAAAACUCGAGGCUCAACCUCGAGCUGUCGGCGGAAACCAUCUGGCUAGAGUCCGGAAGAGGAGAGUGGAAUUCCUGGUGUAGCGGUGAAAUGCGCAGAUAUCAGGAAGAACACCCGUGGCUAAGGCGGCUCUCUAGUACGGUACUGACGCUAAGGCGCGAAAGCGUGGGGAGCGAACAGG